GAUGAACGCUGGCGGCGUGCUUAAUACAUGCAAGUCGAGCGGAGAAAGCGGGCUUUCUGGGUGGAUUAGUGGGGAGGGGGGGUGAGACACACGUGGAAACCGUGCCUGUCAGUGUGGGAAGACUGCGGGACAGGGGAGAAAACAGGAGAGAAGGCCUUUGAACUUAUGGUCGGAAGCAGAGAGAUGGCUUUGGCUGUCACUUUCAGAUGGGACCGCGGCGUAUGUGCGUGUUGGGGAGGUAACGGCGCAGCAGGGCAACGGUGCGGAGCCGACCUGAGAGGAUGAUCGGCCACACUGGGACGGUGACACGCCCCAGACGCCUACGGGAGGCGGCAGUAGGGAAUCUUCUGCAAUGGGCGAAAAUCUUACGGAGCAACGCCGCGUGAUUGAUGAAGGUUUUCGGAUCGUAAAACUCUGUUGUUAGGGAAGAACAAGUACCGGAGUAACUGCCGGUACCUUGACGGUACCUAACCAGAAAGCCACGGCUAACUUCGUG
rnacentral:rRNA from 1 species